GAUAAGCGCUAGCGGCAGGCUUAACACAUGCAAGUCGAGGGGCAGCAUAGAUUGUAGCAAUACAAUUGGUGGCGACCGGCGCACGGGUGCGUAACGCGUAUGCAACCUACCCGUCACAGGGGGAUAAUCCGGAGAAAUCUGGUCUAAUACCCCAUAACAUAUGGAUCGGCAUCGGUUCAUGUUGAAAUUUUCGGAGGUGACGGAUGGGCAUGCGUAGCAUUAGCUUGUUGGUGAGGUAACGGCUCACCAAGGCGACGAUGCUUAGGGGGACUGAGAGGUUUUCCCCCCACACUGGUACUGAGACACGGACCAGACUCCUACGGGAGGCAGCAGUGAGGAAUAUUGGUCAAUGGGCGAGAGCCUGAACCAGCCAAGUCGCGUGAAGGAUGACUGCCCUAUGGGUUGUAAACUUCUUUUAUUGGGGAAUAAUGGGCGGGACGUGUCCUGCAAGAGAAUGUACCCUAUGAAUAAGCAUCGGCUAACUCCGUGCCAGCCGCCGCAGUAA
rnacentral:rRNA from 1 species